CUAAGCACAUAUGGUGUCCUUCCCCCAGCACAGUAGGAUCCUUCACUUUACACGCUCUUGCCUUGUUUCCGUGACUUAGCUAAUAUCUUACAAACCUUAUUCAAAAACAUUACCUCAGCAAGCUUUCCUCAUUUAAAACUACCUCUUAUUGUUCUCUGUGGGUUUUUAAUGAUGUUUGAAUCAUAGGAAUCUCUGUGUAUUGUAUAUUGCUUUAUAUAAGUGUUCAUAGAUAUCUUUG
rnacentral:lncRNA from 1 species